rnacentral:lncRNA from 1 species
AGAAUGAACUACUAGGAAAAAUAGCCUUUUUAGAUUCAGAAGAGGAAACCAGAAAUCUACCUCCUUCAGAACUUGAUGAACGAGCCUCAUCAAAAAUGGAGCUCGAUCAGCUGCUAGCACAAGAAGAGUUUCAUGGAAAUAGCAUUCACAUAUUCAAUGGAUCAACAAUGAAGAUCGUAAUACCAGAUUUUUAUAUUUAUGGGCUCGUAACAGG